GGAGUUAGCCGGUGCUUCUUCUGUGAGUGAUGUCCUUCCUGCCGGCUAUUAACCCGCAGGCCUUCUUCCUCACUGAAAGUGCUUUACAACCCGAAGGCCUUCUUCACACACGCGGCAUGGCUGGAUCAGGGUUGCCCCCAUUGUCCAAUAUUCCCCACUGCUGCCUCCCGUAGGAGUCUGGGCCGUGUCUCAGUCCCAGUGUGGCUGAUCAUCCUCUCAGACCAGCUACGGAUCGUCGCCUUGGUGAGCCGUUACCUCACCAACCAGCUAAUCCGACAUAGGCUCAUCCGAUAGCGCGAGGCCCGAAGGUCCCCCGCUUUCCCCCGUAGGGCGUAUGCGGUAUUAGCCUGGGUUUCCCCAGGUUAUCCCCCACUACCGGGCAGAUUCCUAUGCAUUACUCACCCGUCCGCCGCUCGCCACCAGGGAGCAAGCUCCCCGUGCUGCCGCUCGACUUGCAUGUGUUAGGCCUGCCGCCACGCGUCAUCUGAGCCGACGACGUACAACUACUGA
rnacentral:rRNA from 1 species